UACAGAGGAGCCAAGCGUUGUCCGGAAUCAUUGGGCGUAAAGCGCGCGUAGGCGGCCAGAUAAGUCCGGUGUGAAAGUCACAGGCUCAACCUGUGAAUGCCGCUGGAAACUGUCUGGCUUGAGUCCGGAAGGGGCGAGUGGAAUUCCUGGUGUAGCGGUGAAAUGCGCAGAUAUCAGGAGGAACACCAAUGGCGAAGGCAGCUCGCUGGAACGGUACUGACGCUGAGGCGCGAAAGCGUGGGGAGCGAACAGG
rnacentral:rRNA from 1 species